UCAUUUGUGACACUUGUACCAAGAAGGGGAAGGCUUUCCUCUUUAUUUUCAUGACUACAAGAGGAAAUUACAAAUACUGUGGAGUCAGAUGGCUUGUUUUAACUCAUCCCUCCACUCCAAUUAUCCAUCAGAUAUCUGACCUGGGACAAGUGGCUUACCCUUCUUUAAUCUCAAUUUCCUCACCCAUAAACUGGAGGUAAGAAAACUUUAUCCUAUAAUAUUGUAGAGAAAAUUGGGUGUAAUAAAGUAUGUGAAGUGUGUCCUCUGCUCAGAACCUGGUCCAUAUUAAGCUUCAAUAAAAGUAGUUAUUCUCACAUCUUGAGGCCAUCACUGACUUAUUAAUAAUUUUUUCUCAAAGAAAAGCCAAUGAAAGAAUAUCCCUGUGAAUAAUACUCUGCAACAUUUAGGCCAUUCUAGAUGAAGUCUCAGUCAACAGGGAGUUGCUUUUAGGUCUAUAAAAGAGACUAUUUCAUAUAUCCCAACUUAAUUCAUAAUAAAAGCAGGUUUUUGCAUGAUGCUUAUAGUAGGUGACAUUUCUGCCAACGGGGCUUUGCAAUAGAGUUACAGAUAUCCUGAAAACUCAUUGAACACCCCGUGAAUUGAUUCCUUUUGGUAAAAGGCACAUGAAUUUGGAACUAAAAGUCUUUAGACUAGAUGGAAUGUCAAUCAUGGUGCAUUCAAUACGUAAAUAUUUGAACAGAUCAUUUGUGAGGUUUGCCAUUCUGUUCUCCAGCCUUCUUUAAUAUGCUGGCCCCAUAUUUUGAGUGUGUCUUGUGCUCCCAUCCUGACUGUAAAGUUUAGCCUGAGGGUACGGUAAAGGAAAACAAACAGGUAAUCAAAAGGAUGGUUAAAAUAUGUUCCAGUUUCUACAUAAUUAGAGGUCUUACACAUCUGUCUUAGUCUCAUUGACAAUAUGUUUAGAAAACCCUCCAGCUUACUAAAAGUAUGCAAUUAAAGACUUUUUGAAACCAUAUAAGGGAAAGACUUUUUCUCAUCUUUACUGUAAAGGUAUGUGGCUCUCUCACUUAUAGGGAAAUAUUGAAUUUAUCCUUAUUUCUGCAAGGCUCAGUCUGGGAACAGGCAAGUAUUCUGAAAGGAAAGCUCUGUCUCUCCUAAUUGGCAGUCUCAGAUAUGUGAGCAUUGAUUUGAAAGACUGUGAAAGUUGAGUAGAAAUAAAUAUUCUUGUCUUAAUAAUGAGGACUUUACUUAGAACAGAGAUGAUCAAACUAGCCAAUGCUAGAACCAGCUUCUUAAAGCUUCUAAUGGGUGAAUUUAAGACAAAGGAAAAGCUGUUCUAUAGCUUUUCUAUUCAGCCCCCCUUCAGCCUAGGAUACUGCUCUCUUUUCAGCCCUCAUAAUUCACUGUAUUGUAACCAUCUGUCUUCACACCACAAAAUGGAUUCUUUGAGAUUAAGGACCGAGAAUUGAUUGUCCAUUUUUGUUCACCUAACAUCUAGUUCCUAGAACACUAAACAUAAACAUUUGACUACCUAAGAAGGUAGAGAAGUCAACAUUUUAAUAAGGUUCAAAGUAGGAUUUAUCUGCAGUGGCUUAAGAAGCAAACACAGGUUUUAGAGAUUGGUGACUAUUAGAAGGACUACCAUGAUUUGCAAGCAACCAUCUUUUGUGUUUCUGGCAGAAGUAAAGCUGGGCUGGAUGGAGUAUUUUUCUGUUCCUGGCCCCUUUUCUGAUCUAUGGCUUUAAAUAAUUCUUUAGGUUGAUUUCCAAUAGCUUGGAAAAUCUGUGUAAUGCACAGUAUUUGUCUAGCUUGCAUACUAAUUAGCAAUCACUUAAUUUUUCUGGACCUCAAUUCCCUUACCUAGAAAAUGAGUCUCUAGGACUAGAUUGUCUUCAAGAUAGGUCUCCAGUCUCUAAAUGUUUGUGCCUGGUGAUCGAUGGUUAGAUUUUUAAUGCCAUAUGCUGUUUUUUAUAACAGUAAGUUCUCCUCUCUUCUACAUCAUAACACUUUGACUUUAGUAUCCCACUCAAAACAAAAGUAGAGAGUAAAGAAAUAAGCUGUUUUCUAACUCCAUGCUAAAAUAACAGGGGCAAGGCUGAAAAUAAGUAGCUGAGAAAAUUGCUUUUUUGUGUUCGUACAAUUUUUUUUCAAGUUUUCCUAUUGUGACUCUUUUUUAUUUUCAAGAAAAUGUCAUCAAAUUGGAAGGCUUUCUAUUUCUUGCUGGCUGCCUUUUUCUUUCUCCUUCCAUCUCAUGCCAGAGACUGUGUAUUGAAAGUAAUUUUAACAAAUGUUACCUAAUGAAGGGUUGCAAAUAUGCACGUGAUGACUUUAUUUUAUGACCUGGAACUCUUCUAGAUUUCCUCUAGACUUUUCUCCUGGAUUUUUGUAAAGUCUGAUCACUCUGUAUUGUACUAAUUUUCUCAUGUGUGAAAUGAUAGGGAUAAAUCAUCCAUGUGUCUGGAUCCUGAUCUGAUGAAUACCAUAAGUGAUCAAUACUUGUCUAACAUAUUAAUAUCCCUUGGCAAAAGCACAACUAGGCACAGUAAUUGUUGCAUUGUCUGUAUGUGUCCCUGUGGCUGAUUUGCCUUUAACAGCCUGGGAAGCAGGUUUAAUUCUGAACUGCUUUGCUGUGGACGGAUGGGCUUCAUCUUUCUUAGUUUACUUGAACUAGACUGCCCUCUUGGGAGCUGUUUCUUUCUCUGUGAAAAUCUCCAAACCUCAGACCUCAUCACUGAUCACAAAAUAAGCAAGCAAACGAACAACAACAACAAAAAAAAAGGUAAAAAAGAAACCAAUAAUAUCUUAUCAAAGUGAGCAGAUUAUAUUAUUUGGCAAUGUUACCUAUCAAAACAAAAUGUAAGGAAUAGACCGUACAUAUUUACUGCAUGUCAUUAAAACUACCCACUCACCUUAUUUGAGAUGAGAGAAAAAUUAAUUGAAUAUUAGCAACACUGUGUUCCAACAGGGUAGACAUUACAGAGCAAUUCAGUUUUCCCAGUCAUCUAAUUCAGUCCAGUUCUGUGACCACUUACUGUGCACAGUGUUCCAUAGGUGUCUUGAAGCAUAUAAAAGUGAAUAGCAUGGAUGUCUCAUUCUUUAACUUUUAUUAAGUACUGCAUGAUGUAUGGCAUAUGAGAAACAGUCUCAGCUUAGAAUAUUGGGGUCUUUAAGGAACACUGGAGAAAGGGAGGCCAUAACUUGCACUCUUCCUAUUUUUAUAUAAAUAGAAAACUUAAAUAAGAAGCUUGUUAAACAUGAAAACCUAAGAUAGUGAUGUAAGGGCAAGAAUUUUUGAAUCAGAUAAACCAAGGUCUGAAUUCUGCCAGUUGUUUUCCCAGAUAACUUCAGAAAAGCUAUUUUAUCUCUUGAAACUUCUUUCUCAUUUGUGUAUAAAAUUUCAUUGAGUGGCCCAAAAUAGGUUGAAUUUUGCAAGUUAUCAUAUGACUCAAUCUAAUAAAAAGGAUGUUUAUAGGAUGGUGUGGGAAAGACAUGAUCACAUGCCCAGUAUUGAGUACUUGCUGCUCCUGGAACAGCUGUUUCUCCUGUUCCACCAUCAUCACCACCACCACUAAUACUGCCAUCACUGGUACUACCACCACCACUACCAUGACCAAUAAUACUACCACAAUACUACAGUGCUACUAUUACCACCACCACUAGUACUACGACCAUCACUACUAACACCACCACUACCACCAUCACUGCUAUCACCACCACCACUAGUACCAACACCAGUACUAUCACCACCACUACCAUGACCAAUACUACUACUGCAAUACUGCAGUACUACUACUACUGACACCAUUAGUGCUACCACCACUAAUACUACCACCAGUAGUACAAUUACCACCAUCACUACUAAGAUCACCACCAUUAAUACUACUACUGCCACUACCGCCACUACUACUAUCACCACAAGUAUUACCACCACCACCACUACCAUCACUACGAACAUCCCCACCACUACCAUGACCAAUAAUACUACUACAAUACUGCAGUACUGCUACUACUGCCACCAGUAGUACUACCACCACCAUUACCACCAUCACUACUAUCACCAUCACCACUACUAUAAUACUUCAAUACCACUACUACCACCACCACAGUUGCCACCAUCACUACUAUCACCACUAGUACUACUAUAAUAAUGCAAUACACUACUACCGCUACUAGUACACCACCACUAGUACUAUCACUACCACCAACAGUACUACUGUUACCACUACUACAAUACUUCAAUACUACUACUACCACUACCACUAGUACUACCAUGACCACUACCAACACUACCACUACUACAAUAUUGCAAUACAACUAAUGCCAUCAUUGCUGAUACUACUACUAUUAUCAUCACUACCACUGCAAUUUCUACUAUUUGUUGUUAUUUUAAUAAUUAUUACAUCUGCAAUCACUGUGCUUAUCAAUAUCAUCAUCAUUUUCAUUAAGUGAGAUGACAUAAUGAGUUCCCCAAAUAUGAGAAAAAAAUAUGUUUCUUGCAUUCCUCUAAACACUUUGAAAGUUCUUAUUCCUAUUCUUGGCAGCUUCUAUUUUAUAGAGCAGUGUCAGUGGGAAUCAGGAAAGAAGUUUGAGGCAGAAACUAUGUAUGUUAGACUCCUAAUGAUCCAAAAUUUAUGAAUUUAAAAUUAGUACCAACAGUGAAAAUCAAAUCCAAACAAGAAAUGGAAAGCAAAAGAUAAUUUAAGGUAAUUCAAGGAAGGUGUUCCCGCUGUGGCACAGUGGAUUAAAAAUCCAACUGCAGCUUCUCGGGUCACAGAAGAGGUGUAGGUUUGAUUCCUGGUCUGGAGCAGUGGGUUAAAACAUCAGGCUCAGAUUCAAUCCCUGGGCCAGGAACUUCCAUAUGCCACAGGAGUGGCCAUAAAAUUAAAAGCAAUCACAACAGCAAAAAAUGGUAAUUCAAGGAACACAGAGAUUUAGGUCAAGUAGAAAUACAGGGAAGAGGGACCCUCCAAGAAAUAAAAUGUGAGUGUUU
rnacentral:lncRNA from 1 species